CACCCACAUAGAUGUAUCUUUCACCAUCAUUUGGUUUUCGGCAGUUCAGGCAACCCUGCAUAGAUAUACUUAUGUGAGUAGUAGCAGCAGAAUCUACCUACCAAGUAUCUUUAGGUACCGAAAUUAAAUUAAAUUCAGAACAAACAAGAGAAAGAGAUAUAUCCUUUUUUGCACGCCAAGCGUGGUAUUUGGUACAAUCUUUCUUCAUGUGAUUAGUCCCC
rnacentral:lncRNA from 1 species